CCUACGGGGUGCAGCAGUAGGGAAUCUUUCACAAUGGGCGAAAGCCUGAUGGAGCAAUGCCGCGUGCAGGAUGAAGGCCUUCGGGUUGUAAACUGCUUUUAUAAGCGAGAAAUAUGAUGGUAACUUAUGAAUAAGGAUCGGCUAACUACGUGCCAGCAGCCGCGGUCAUACGUAGGAUCCGAGCAUUAUCCGGAGUGACUGGGUGUAAAGAGUUGCGUAGGUGGCAUAAUAAGUAGCUAGUGAAAUCUGGUGGCUCAACCAUUCAGACUAUUAGCUAAACUGUUAAGCUCGAGACCGUUAGGGGUAACUGGAAUUUCUAGUGUAGGAGUGAAAUCCGUAGAUAUUAGAAGGAACACCAAUAGCGUAGGCAGGUUGCUGGGACGGUUCUGACACUAAGGCACGAAAGCGUAGGGAGCAAACGGGAUUAGAUACCCUUGUAGUC
rnacentral:rRNA from 1 species